AUUGAACGCUGGCGGCAUGCUUUACACAUGCAAGUCGAACGGUGUUUUCGGACCUAGCGGCGGACGGGUGAGUAAUGCGUAGGAAGCUACCCGAUAGAGGGGGAUACCAGUUGGAAACGACUGUUAAUACCGCAUAAUGUCUACGGACCAAAGUGUGGGACCUUCGGGCCACAUGCUAUCGGAUGCGCCUACGUGGGAUUAGCUAGUUGGUGGGGUAAUGGCUCACCACGGCGACGAUCCCUAGCUGGUUUGAGAGGAUGAUCAGCCACACUGGGACUGAGACACGGUCCAGACUCUUACGGGAGGCAGCAGGGGGGAAUAUUGGACAAUGGGCGCAAGCCUGAUCCAGCCAUGCCGCGUGUGUGAAGAAGGCCUUCGGGUUGUAAAGCACUUUCAGUAGGGAGGAAGGGUGUUGUGUUAAUAGCACAGCAUUUUGACGUUACCUACAGAAGAAGCACCGGCUAACUCUGUGCCAGCAGCCGCGGUAAAAC
rnacentral:rRNA from 1 species